GUGAAUCAUCAAAUCUUUGAACGCAAAUUGCGCCUUUUUCUGAAGGCAUGUCUAUUUGAGGGCACCAUUUAACAAAUAAUAUGCAUUUCGUGUGCACACGUUGAUGAGUUUUCCAAAAUUAUGUAUUAGUAUUUUUGUUAGCGCGGAAUAAACAUCGCGAUGCUUUUUUUCAGUUCGAGUGUAGUAAAAUUUUUUCUUGCUUGUUUUGUGAAAAGCGUAAUGGCGCAAUGGGUGUGGC
rnacentral:misc_RNA from 1 species